GGCAUCAUGAGAGUCCAACUGUCUCUUAUAACAAAUCAAUUAAACUGAUCUCCCAGUACAAAAGCUGGAAUCCCCCUAUAAGACCAGAAGACCCUGUGAAGCUUCAAUUAAACUAUUAAACUUUAUAAUAACUAAUUUCGGUUGGGGCGACCUUGGAACAAAAAAGAACUUCCAAAUACGUGAUAUUACCUCACAACGGCUGACAAGCCACAGACCCAGUACUACUGAUUAAUGAACUAAGUUACUCCAGGGAUAACAGCGCUAUCUUCUUUAAGAGCCCAUAUCAAAAAGAAGGUUUACGACCUCGAUGUUGGAUCAGGACAUCCUAGUAAUGCAACCGUUUCUAAGGGUUCGUUUGUUCAACGAUUAAUAGUCCUACGUGA
rnacentral:rRNA from 1 species